rnacentral:rRNA from 1 species
CAGUAGCCGCGGGAAUACGUAGGGUCCGAGCGUUGUCCGGAGUUAUUGGGCGUAAAGGGCUCGUAGGCGGUUUGUUGCGUCGGGAGUGAAAACCGGGUGCUUAACACCUGGCUUGCUUUCGAUACGGGCAGACUUGAGGCAUGCAGGGGAGAACGGAAUUCCUGGUGUAGCGGUGAAAUGCGCAGAUAUCAGGAGGAACACCGGUGGCGAAGGCGGUUCUCUGGGCAUGUUCUGACGCUGAGGAGCGAAAGUGUGGGGAGCGAACAGGAUUAGAUACCCCUGUAGUCCCUGUCUCUUAUAU